GACGAACGCUGGCGGCGUGCCUAAUACAUGCAAGUAGAACGCUGAAGGAGGAGCUUGCUCUUCUGGAUGAGUUGCGAACGGGUGAGUAACGCGUAGGUAACCUGCCUAGUAGCGGGGGCUAACUAUUGGAAACGAUAGCUAAUACCGCAUAACAGUAGAUGUUGCAUGACAUUUACUUAAAAGGUGCAAUUGCAUCACUACCAGAUGGACCUGCGUUGUAUUAGCUAGUUGGUGGGGUAACGGCCCACCAAGGCGACGAUACAUAGCCGACCUGAGAGGGUGAUCGGCCACACUGGGACUGAGACACGGCCCAGACUCCUACGGGAGGCAGCAGUAGGGAAUCUUCGGCAAUGGACGGAAGUCUGACCGAGCAACGCCGCGUGAGUGAAGAAGGUUUUCGGAUCGUAAAGCUCUGUUGUAAGAGAAGAACGAGUGUGAGAGUGGAAAGUUCACACUGUGACGGUAUCUUACCAGAAAGGGACGGCUAACUACGUG
rnacentral:rRNA from 1 species